rnacentral:misc_RNA from 1 species
UACGGAGGGGGCUAGCGUUGUUCGGAUUUACUGGGCGUAAAGCGCGCGUAGGCGGUUUUUCAAGUUGGGCGUGAAAUCCCGGGGCUUAACCCCGGAACUGCGUUCAAAACUGGAUUACUCGAGGCCGGGAGAGGGUAGUGGAAUUCCCAGUGUAGAGGUGAAAUUCGUAGAUAUUGGGAAGAACACCAGUGGCGAAGGCGGCUACCUGGACCGGAUCUGACGCUGAGGCGCGAAAGCGUGGGGAGCAAACAGG